rnacentral:rRNA from 1 species
UACGAAGGGGGCUAGCGUUGUUCGGAAUUACUGGGCGUAAAGCGCGUGUAGGCGGGUCUUUAAGUCAGGGGUGAAAUGCCAAGGCUCAACCUUGGAACUGCCUUUUGAUACUGGCGAUCUCGAGUCCGGGAGAGGUGAGUGGAACUGCGAGUGUAGAGGUGAAAUUCGUAGAUAUUCGCAAGAACACCAGUGGCGAAGGCGGCUCACUGGCCCGAUACUGACGCUGAGGCACGAAAGCGUGGGGAGCAAACAGGG